rnacentral:rRNA from 1 species
UGGGGAAUAUUGGGCAAUGGGGGGAACCCUGACCCAGCAACGCCGCGUGAAGGAAGAAGGUUUUCGGAUUGUAAACUUCUGUCCUUGGUGAAGAGGAAGAGACGGUAGCCAAGGAGGAAGCCACGGCUAACUACGUGCCAGCAGCCGCGGUAAUACGUAGGUGGCGAGCGUUGUCCGGAUUUACUGGGUGUAAAGGGCGAGUAGGCGGGGAUCCAAGUCCGAUGUGAAAUGCAGGGGCUCAACCCCUGAGCUGCAUCAGAAACUGGAUUUCUUGAGUGAUGGAGAGGCAGGCGGAAUUCCUGGUGUAGCGGUGAAAUGCGUAGAUAUUAGGAGGAACACCAGUGGCGAAGGCGGCCUGCUGGACAGUAACUGACGCUGAGGCGCGAAAGCGUGGGGAGCAAACAGG